GCCCCCGUAGCUCAGUCGGACAGAGCACUUGCCUUCUAAGCAAGGGGUCGUGGGUUCGAUUCCCAUCGGGGGCA
rnacentral:tRNA from 1 species